UACGGGGGGGGCAAGCGUUGUUCGGAAUUACUGGGCGUAAAGGGCUCGUAGGCGGCCAACUAAGUCAUACGUGAAAUCCCUCGGCUUAACCGGGGAACUGCGUCUGAUACUGGAUGGCUUGAGUUCGGGAGAGGGAUGCGGAAUUCCAGGUGUAGCGGUGAAAUGCGUAGAUAUCUGGAGGAACACCGGUGGCGAAGGCGGCAUCCUGGACCGACACUGACGCUGAGGAGCGAAAGCCAGGGGAGCAAACAGG
rnacentral:rRNA from 1 species